rnacentral:rRNA from 1 species
UGGGAGGUAAAUUUCUUCUAAAGCUAAAUACCGGCCAGAGACCGAUAGCGCACAAGUAGAGUGAUCGAAAGAUGAAAAGCACUUUGAAAAGAGGGUUAAAUAGCACGUGAAAUUGUUGAAAGGGAAGGAUUUAUGACCAGACUUUUUCUAGGCGAAUCAUCCGGUGUUCUCACCGGUGCACUUCGUUUAGUUUAGGCCAGCAUCGAUUUUCGAGGCGGGAUAAAAGCUUCAGGAAUGUGGCUCCCUCGGGAGUGUUAUAACCUGUUGUAUAAUACCGCCUUGGGGAUCGAGGUACGCGCUUCUGCAAGGAUGCUGGCGUAAUGGUUAUCAAUCACCCGUCUUGAAACACGGACCAAGGAGUCGAACAUUUGUGCGAGUGUUUGGGUGUUAAACCCUCACGCGUAAUGAAAGUGAACGGAGGUGAGAGCCCUUUACGGGGUGCAUCAUCGACCGAUCCUGAUGUCUUCGGAUGGAUUUGAGUAAGAGCAUAAAUGUUCGGACCCGAAAGAUGGUGAACUAUGCGUGGAUAGGGUGAAGCCAGAGGAAACUCUGGUGGAGGCUCGCAGCGGUUCUGACGUGCAAAUCGAUCGUCAAAUCUGCGCAUGGGG